rnacentral:rRNA from 1 species
AACGAACGCUGGCGGCAUGCCUAACACAUGCAAGUCGAACUAGACCUUCGGGUCUAGUGGCGCACGGGUGCGUAACGCGUGGGAACCUGCCCUUAGGUUCGGAAUAACUCCCCGAAAGGGGUGCUAAUACCGGAUAAUUUCUUCGGACCAAAGAUUUAUCGCCUUUGGAUGGGCCCGCGUUGGAUUAGCUAGUUGGUAGGGUAAAAGCCUACCAAGGCGACGAUCCAUAGCUGGUCUGAGAGGAUGAUCAGCCACACUGGGACUGAGACACGGCCCAGACUCCUACGGGAGGCAGCAGUGGGGAAUAUUGGACAAUGGGCGAAAGCCUGAUCCAGCAAUGCCGCGUGAGUGAUGAAGGCCUUAGGGUUGUAAAGCUCUUUUACCCGGGAUGAUAAUGACAGUACCGGGAGAAUAAGCUCCGGCUAACUCCGUG